GGGACUGUAGCUCAGUGGCAGAGCACUUGCCUUACAAGUGUGAGGCACUGGGUUCAAUUUUCAGCACCA
rnacentral:tRNA from 1 species